CUUCUGCGCUGGCAGGCAGAUUUUUUACCACUGAGCCACCAGGGUAGCCAGAUUAACAUAUUAGCCAGUGGUUUAUUUACUUUGUUAGGAAAGCAACUCAUAUUCGUUGUAUUAAGUAGAAAAAAAAUUAGAAGAAAAUCUCAAAAAUUGAGGAUAACUUCCCAAAUCAUUAAGUACUGCGUGGGACCCCUUAACUCCCUCUGAUGUUAGAUACUUUAGUUACCAGUUGUUUGUAUUAUAGGCUCUAGUUUGAAUAUCCUUUCACACACAUGCAAACCAGGUUAUUACUUUAGGUUAGAUCCGUAGAGUGAAUAUGAGCCCUCACAAAGUGUAUGAGUUUAUUAUGCAUUGCUGGUUGUCUUUCAAGAAAGAUUUUGCCAAUUUAUACACAUGUGCCUGUUUAGCAUAUUUUUUAAAGCCAGUACACAUAAAAAGACAUCAUGCAUAUAAUCAGCAGAGCAUCAUUUUAUAAAUAUUUAAGUGGAAAGGGAAAAAUUGUCAAGAAGGUAAGGGCUGAACCAUCAGGAUUUGGGGAAUUGUGGGGUGUGAGGCAGGGGAUGGAUAGAAAUGUCUAACUUUUCUCUCAUUAAAAUAGAAAUUAUUCAAGAAAGAAAAUGCACUGAAGAGCAAAUCUGUGAAAUUGAACUCUUCAUCCUGUUAAAAGGCCCCAAAACAUCAAACUGACUUAGCCAACUCCCAUCUCCAAAUGUGAUGCCCCAGGCAGAUUCUUCACCAGCUGAGCUACCAGACAAGUCUGAGUUAGCAGGGAAGCCUGUCAUCUCUUCUACUAAAGCACUAUAUGGAUAAAUGUCUUCUCAGUUGAAAAAAUAAUGCACCCCCAAACAGACUCAUAUUAGAUAUAUUUCAAAGUAUAUACAAUCCACUGAUCUUUAACUUAAAGCAUUCUGAAAUACUGUGAACCCAAAAAGGAUUACAUUAAGUGAAACUAUACAUAUUGUGAAAGCUAAAAAUAAAUCUUUUAAUCAUGAGACUGUUAAUUUGAAGAAGAAUGUGAUACCUCAUGUGCCCAGCCUCCUUUACCCUUCACUUGAGAUGACUGUAAGAUGUGAAAAAUAAACGUGUAUUUAUCUAAACUGUAA